GACAGAGGAGCCAAGCGUUGUCCGGAUUGACUGGGCGUAAAGCGCACGCAGGCGGUCGCGCGCGUGGGGUGUGAAAUCUGGCCGCUUAACGGCCAGGCGCCAUCCCAUACGGCGCGACUGGAGUGAUGCAGAGGUCGAUGGAAUUGCCGGUGUAGUGGUGAAAUGCGUAGAGAUCGGCAGGAACACCCCAGGGGGGAAACCAGUCGACUGGGCAUCUACUGACGCUGAGGUGCGAAAGCGUGGGGAGCAAACAGG
rnacentral:rRNA from 1 species